CUGGGUCCCUAAUAGCCUGAAAGAAAGCUAGCACCACUGACAGGUCAGUUGCUGGCAGGAACCAGGGGAGCAAGAGAGAGCUCCUGGCUGACUGAAGGGACUGAGCAGUUGUGUGCCCUGAGGUGUAACUGAGAGCAAAAUAUGACUCCCUUGUUUCACUCUGUAUUUUACAACACAGGACAUUCAUUCUGCAGUCCUUCCCCCCUCUGAUCUAGGAAUGCUUUAAAUCCAAGACGUGCAGGAUUAAAUCUUUACAGCAGCAGUGAGCUCUCUGUGAACCAUCAGUUUGUGCUGACAGGCUCCAAUGCUCCUCUCCAGAAAUGUACCAAAACCCUGUGGAGGGGAAGGGGUGCACACAGGUGACCUGCAAAUGGAACAGGAAAGGCUAUACUGUAAUAAAGAAGCUCAGCUGGUCCGUGCUCCAAAUGUAAGUGAUUCUAUGACAAAGGCAUGAGC